UUAAAUUGAAGAGUUUGAUCAUGGCUCAGAUUGAACGCUGGCGGCAGGCCUAACACAUGCAAGUCGAACGGUAACAGGAAGCAGCUUGGCUGCUUUGCUGACGAGUGGCGGACGGGUGAGUAAUGUCUGGGAAACUGCCUGAUGGAGGGGGAUAACUACUGGAAACGGUGGCUAAUACCGCAUAACGUCGCAAGACCAAAGAGGGGGACCUUCGGGCCUCUUGCCAUCAGAUGUGCCCAGAUGGGAUUAGCUUGUUGGUGAGGUAACGGCUCACCAAGGCGACGAUCCCUAGCUGGUCUGAGAGGAUGACCAGCCACACUGGAACUGAGACACGGUCCAGACUCCUACGGGAGGCAGCAGUGGGGAAUAUUGCACAAUGGGCGCAAGCCUGAUGCAGCCAUGCCGCGUGUAUGAAGAAGGCCUUCGGGUUGUAAAGUACUUUCAGCGGGGAGGAAGGUGUUGUGGUUAAUAACCGCAGCAAUUGACGUUACCCGCAGAAGAAGCACCGGCUAACUCCGUGCCAGCAGCCGCGGUAAUACGGAGGGUGCAAGCGUUAAUCGGAAUUACUGGGCGUAAAGCGCACGCAGGCGGUCUGUCAAGUCGGAUGUGAAAUCCCCGGGCUCAACCUGGGAACUGCAUUCGAAACUGGCAGGCUUGAGUCUUGUAGAGGGGGGUAGAAUUCCAGGUGUAGCGGUGAAAUGCGUAGAGAUCUGGAGGAAUACCGGUGGCGAAGGCGGCCCCCUGGACAAAGACUGACGCUCAGGUGCGAAAGCGUGGGGAGCAAACAGGAUUAGAUACCCUGGUAGUCCACGCCGUAAACGAUGUCUACUUGGAGGUUGUGCCCUUGAGGCGUGGCUUCCGGAGCUAACGCGUUAAGUAGACCGCCUGGGGAGUACGGCCGCAAGGUUAAAACUCAAAUGAAUUGACGGGGGCCCGCACAAGCGGUGGAGCAUGUGGUUUAAUUCGAUGCAACGCGAAGAACCUUACCUGGUCUUGACAUCCACAGAACUUUCCAGAGAUGGAUUGGUGCCUUCGGGAACUGUGAGACAGGUGCUGCAUGGCUGUCGUCAGCUCGUGUUGUGAAAUGUUGGGUUAAGUCCCGCAACGAGCGCAACCCUUAUCCUUUGUUGCCAGCGGUCCGGCCGGGAACUCAAAGGAGACUGCCAGUGAUAAACUGGAGGAAGGUGGGGAUGACGUCAAGUCAUCAUGGCCCUUACGACCAGGGCUACACACGUGCUACAAUGGCGCAUACAAAGAGAAGCGACCUCGUGAGAGCAAGCGGACCUCAUAAAGUGCGUCGUAGUCCGGAUUGGAGUCUGCAACUCGACUCCAUGAAGUCGGAAUCGCUAGUAAUCGUGGAUCAGAAUGCCACGGUGAAUACGUUCCCGGGCCUUGUACACACCGCCCGUCACACCAUGGGAGUGGGUUGCAAAAGAAGUAGGUAGCUUAACCUUCGGGAGGGCGCUUACCACUUUGUGAUUCAUGACUGGGGUGAAGUCGUAACAAGGUAACCGUAGGGGAACCUGCGGUUGGAUCACCUCCUUA
rnacentral:rRNA from 1 species